UUCUCUCGCCUGAAAUUUGGCGCUGGAGCUGUGUCGUCACUGCGUUCAUUGCUCUCAGCGAAUCAGAGGGCGCCAUGAAACGUCACAGCAUGCGUAGGCGGCUGCUUCCGCCAUAUGGCUUCCGCUGCUUCCGUGUUUUCCGUCAUCAUGGCUGUGCGAUGGAUAGCGGUGCAGAUUGAACCCGCUGAACCUUGCAACGAAGACCUCGCAAGGGAAAUUAGUUUACAUUUCAGCGACUUCAGCCAAGUGGAGCGCGAUAUGCUUCUUCGAGCUCGCGCGGCUAGUGUUUCAGCGCACGCCGUCGGAGAGCGAAGCCUCGUUUUCGUCGACGGAAGGCGAGGCGGCCAGUCAGCCAAGCGACGUCGUCGGUGAAGAGCUUGAUUCGCGACUCACCCGUACUGAAUGGUGCGACUGCAAACAUUGCGUGGUACUCGACAACUUCAGCGAGGAGGAGUGCCUCUGCUAUCGAGAGAUGGAAGACCCUGUCACUGCUGCACAGCCUGAAGGAUGCGUCACAGAGAACCCGGAGUUCCACCUCGUGUCUAAACAUCGCUGUGCUCCGUACUUCGACCAGUUUGUUGACCAAGAUCAACUGCACCAAGUUUCUAGAUUUUAAACUGCAUUUCACCGACACCCUCGUUUGCUGGUCGUACAACCCAAGGUCUAACAAAAGUCUGUUGCAUUACAAGAGCGCAAACUCCAAACUCAUGAAGUGUGGCAUCAUGUCUAGCUUCCUCUCAACCCUGCAGAAAUCCUGUGCACACACAGCUGUAGCCAGUUUCAACAGUCAGCUUGAGUGCCUGCUGUCCACCGGUUACCCAGAUCACAUAAUCCGCAGCACUUCUGAAAGCCUACUUCAGAAAAUAAAAUCUACAGAAAGGAAACAGCAACCCUUGAUUCAACAACCACCUUAAGUUAUGCCAUAUUUGCAUUGCCUAUCACACAUCCAAAAGGUAGCAGAAAGGUACGGAAUUUGCGUCGUGUUUUUAGUGUCAUGCAAACUUUAAAAAGUGUGCCCUCUGCUGACUAAAGGAAAAAACGAGCAAGGCUCGUGCACAAAGGACCCCAAGAAUGAGUACA
rnacentral:lncRNA from 1 species